GAUGAACGCUGGCGGCGUGCCUAAUACAUGCAAGUCGAGCGAACAGAUGAGGAGCUUGCUCCUCUGACGUUAGCGGCGGACGGGUGAGUAACACGUGGAUAACCUACCUAUAAGACUGGGAUAACUUCGGGAAACCGGAGCUAAUACCGGAUAAUAUAUUGAACCGCAUGGUUCAAUAGUGAAAGACGGUUUUGCUGUCACUUAUAGAUGGAUCCGCGCCGCAUUAGCUAGUUGGUAAGGUAACGGCUUACCAAGGCAACGAUGCGUAGCCGACCUGAGAGGGUGAUCGGCCACCCUGGAACUGCGACACAGUCCAGACUCCUACGGGAGGCAGCAGUACGGAAUCUUCCGCAAUGGGCGAAAACCUGACGGAGCAACGACGCGUAAGUGAUGAAGGUCUUCGGAUCGUAGAACUCUGUUAUUAGGGAAGAACAAAUGUGUAAGUAACUAUGCACGUCUUGACGGUACCUGAUCAGAAAGCCACGGCUAACUACGUG
rnacentral:rRNA from 1 species